rfam:Helianthus annuus linkage group 10, whole genome shotgun sequence.
UCACUUACCUGGACGGGGUCAAUGGGUGAUCAAAAAGGCCCAUGGCCUAGGUUGGUGACCUCCAUUGCACUCAGGAGGGGUGCUAGCCUAAGGUCGGCCCAAGUGGUCGAGCCUACGUCAUAAUUUGUGCCAGUGGAGGCCUGCGUUCGCGCGGCCUCUGC